UGCCAAUGAGACAACUGUCCACAAGAGACCAAAAUGACACACACAUUAACAACUAUAGGUCACCGUACGGCCUUCAAUUUUGCUGAAAGCCCGCCGUGCAAUAUUUGAAUUGAAUAAAAGGCAUGACCGGAGUUUAUUGAUUACAUAUAAUUUACAAAGUAAACGAUUAAUUCAUUUGUACUAGAACUAUGUGUAUGUUCGCUCUAAAUGAGCAUGAAAUACUUGCAACUGGACAACAAGCGAUUUCAGUCUAAAGUUAAUUCAUAUGUUACAGAUUAAAUUUUCAGUUAUGGUAAUCAGUAACAACAAGCAUUGAAUAAACUAAUGCUUAUUAAUGACCACUUCAUCAACUAUGUCUCCGAUCACAGAAAUGCCGUGAACGUUAUUGAUGUCAUUUGGGACAUACAUGUAUUAGCGCGAAAAGACGCGAGACGUUAUGGCGUUUAAAAGUGGACACGUUUGGGCGAAUAAUAAUUAUCGGUCACGUUUGGGGGUUAUGAAAUCGGACACGUUUUGGCAAUAUUGAAUAUUUAGGACACGUUUAGGGAGAAUAGACACGUUUGGGGAAUCGGAC
rnacentral:lncRNA from 1 species